ensembl:snoRNA SNORA35B small nucleolar RNA, H/ACA box 35B
CAGCAUUGUGCAAUGGCCUUUGGUUUUUUCUCAUAACCAAUUAGGUCUGAAAGCAAUGCAAGAAAAACUUCCUUUUUCCACGAGAAACAUCCCUGAAGUGGGUUGUUCCUAUCGACAAGAGGGUACAUAC